GUUUAUUUCACUCAACCUCAUCUUGUCAUGUAAAUGCACAGAAGAGAGCUGUCUUGGGUGCCUCAUAGGUCUGAGUCUUCUCUCUCUUGGGACUAUUAACGGGAUUUGAACAGGGCUUGGCAUAAGGAACCUUCAUGAGCCAGAAGGAAAAGAGAAAAGACCAUAGGAAAUCUCAACAUUACGUCAACUGAUAAAGACCAGGUGAAUGCAUAGCGAUUGAGACUGGAGUAGAGGAGAAACUGUCAUUUAAAAGACCUAGACCAUUUCUUUUGGAUAUCAUUUUUACAAAAUUUAUUUUAAAUUUGGAGCUAUUACUUCCGAUAUGUUCUCGCCUUGGUUCUAAAUUACUGUCCUCCAAACUGCCGCCUGUGUCCGAUGAGUGAUCCCAGCUCUGGGAAAGGAAAAGAAAGAAUAUUGACUCAUAUCUGAGUGUAAAUUUCACACUGCAGAUUUGUUGGAAUUCAAUUUAUGACAUUAAAAGAGAAAAGAGCAAAACAUCCAUAAGAAAGAGAGGGCAGCCCCCUCUUCUGGCUCUGUGGGAGUUCAACAUCCUGUAGAAGAUCUCCUGUGGACUCUGGGAUGACAGCUGAUCUACUGAGCUUCCUGCUGUUGCUGAUCUUCUCCCUGCUGAGGCUGACGAGAGGUGAAAAGGCCGUGUCCCACAUUCUUAUGGAUAUGGCACCAGAUUCCUUUGAUGACCAGUACCAGGGUUGCUGUGAGCAGGUAAUGGAAGAACUGGACCGAGGAGACUAUUUCCAAAAGGAAUUGGGUAAUAAUAAGAACUAUUCCAGCAUCUGGGAGAAAGCAAAGCUGGUCUGGUCAAAAAAGCCAAUGGCUCUGCUGAGGGAGAUGCAGGAGAAUCACGCCGUAGCCCUCAUGGCUUACACCAUGAACACCUCACUGCACUCUGAUUUGAACUGGGCUGUCUCCAGAGCUGGGAGAUCCCCAGAGCACUACAGAAACAGCUUCCCUUUCAAAUACCUCCACUUCUACCUGACUACAGCCAUUCAAUUGGUGAGGAGAUGGAAGAGUGGCAUCACAAGAAAAAAGUGCUACCAGGUGCACCGGGGGGUAAAAGGCCUGUAUUUUGAGGCUGAGUUGGGCACCAAAGUGCGGUUUGGCCGCUUCACCUCUACUUCACUCCUCCGGAAGGAAGCACAGAGAUUUGGGAAUGAAACAAUAUUCACCAUGAAGACUUGCUUAGGGGCAGUUGUGGAACACUUCUCCCACUACUUCUAUGAGAGGGAGGUCCUCAUCCCACCCUAUGAGAUAUUCCAGGUCAGAAACUUCAGCCGAACACCAAGUGGUAACCACCUCUAUCUGUUCUCUGUGGGAAAUUACAGCCAAUACAACUGCCAGCUCCUGAAAGCUUCAAGCAGCAAGAGCUGUAUCCACACUCCUCCAGUCACUGCCUUUCUUUCUUGUGUGAUCAGUGCUUUCUUCUACUCCACCAGACAGUGACUCUUUCCCUGAUCACAGAAGGAUUCAUGUGCUGUGUAAAAAGGAAUGAGUUAUGGGUGCGAGGGAUUUACAGUAACCAGCCACAGAGGUGACUGAUGCUACAAGGUGCUGAACACCUCCUGCAAUUUUCCCUCUAACUCCCCUGACUUCAAUGAGUUAAGGGUGCUCAGAAUUUCAAAGGAGGCGUUUAAUCCCUAGCAAAAUCAGGCUCCUAGGUGUACAUUCAAAGUAGGGGUGUAAAUAGGGUUUAAAAAUAGUAACCUUUUAACCUAUUAAAAUUCUAUUGGUUAAAUGGUUAACUGUUAAGGAGUUCACAUAGGGAACUAGAGGUAGGGUGGGGGGGGUGCUGCAGCACCCCCACGUUUUAUGCGGGGCUUCGCUGCCGCCUGCACCCAGGAUCCCGGCUGUCGGCCUGGGCGUGGGGCUCUGCUGCCUCCCUGGGCCCGGCAUCCCGCAUGCCAGCCCCGGGAUUGGCAUUCUGCCUGCUGCUGGCCCCGUGCCUGGCACUCCACUGCCACCGGUCCUGGGACCGGGACUUAGCUGCCUCCCUGGGGUCCCGACUGCCAGCCCUGUGCCUCUGCUGCCUCCCCACUCCCAGGGUCCCAGCUUUUGCCUCGCACCUGGGAUCGACCCUGUGUGCAUGGCUGGGAGCCGGGACCCCUGGCUUUGAGGGCAGAGGAGUUUAAUCAUUAACUGAAACCGAUAAGACUGUACUUAUUGGUUAACUGGUUAACCAGUUAAACUUUUACAUCCCUCAUUCAAAGUAGGAAGAUAAUAGGUCUGUGUGCAUGCUGAAGAGCAUGGCAAAGACUCCAGUCAAUUUAGGUACCUAGUCUGAAGGGCUUUGGGUACAACCAUACAGUAGGAACUCUUGAACCACUAUUUGUAUUCAGAGUAGCAGCCAUGUUAGUCUAUAUUCGCAAAAAGAAAAGGAGGACUUGUGGCACUUUAGAGACUAACCAAUUUAUUUGAGCAUAAGCUUUCGUGAGCUACAGCUCACUUCAUCAGUAGCUCAUGAAAGCUUAUGCUCAAAUAAAUUUGUUAGUUGUUAAGGUGCCACAAGUCCUCCUUUUCUUUUCACUAUUUGUAUUAGCAUUUCUUUUGCAGGUCUCAGUAGGUUCUCUUGAGUUAGUAGUAAUACCACCCUCUGGUGGCCAUUAAGAAAAUACCUGCAAAUUCCCGCAAAGGGAAUUUACAGAAAUUGUAGAGACUAUUGGGUUGUGUCCAUUUUAAAGAGAGGUUGAUGUUAUUAAAUACAUAUAUAUAUUUCUAUUGCUCUGUUUUUCAAUGUGUAAUAUCAGUGAUAGAAUUCACAUCCCAUACUGAAUUCUCCUUCCCAGUUUAACUAUGUUCUUUCCUAACUUUUAAAGAUUAAUUAGCAUUCCUGCAAGGCACCAAGGCAGUAAUCCUGAAAUCCUCUAAUCCCACAAUAGCUAUAGCAUGUUAAUGCAAAUUUCCCUCUCAUACUGCCUCCCUCCAAUAUGGCUGGAGGGACCACAUCUUGGAGAUGAAAUUGUUUUUUAGCCUCUGUCCCAUUUUGUCCUUGGACUGAGCUGAGACUACCAACCAGAUGAUAAAUUGUGAUAAUUUAGUUGUGUAAUGUAGACAUCCGACCACCAAGUACUGAAUUGAGAUUCACUAGCACAUUCUAUAUAGGCUACAAAUAGCCAUCAAGUGGCAACAAUUUUCAGCCAGUAACUAUCAACCUGAGCUGGCAUGGAACUGGUGAUCAAAAGGCAAGAAGUUCCAUAUUCUAUGCACCAUCCCCCUGACCUAUGCACUAUGCACAGAGCUAGUUGUCUAUAUUAUAGACUUGAACUUAAAAGGGCCUAGCCCUUUGGCUCCCCACAAACUGCUGAUUGAUGAACAGCUGAAUAUAAAGAAGAAGUUGAGGAGAAAAGCUUUCUGCAAUCUGUGGAUGAACAGCACUAUACAAGAACUAAAUUCUAUUUUUUAUUCUCUUUGAAGUCAAGUGGCUGGCAGGUGCCCUUCUCCAGCGCACACCACUAUGCCCAUGUCCAGUCUAGUCAUUUUGCUCCUUCUAUAGCCCAACACAUUGGGUCUUUCAGCAGUUCAGCAAGUAAAUCCUCCCUCAACCUACCUCACUCUAUCUCCUGUUCAACUGAGCCAAUAAUUAGUUUUGUUCCUAAACUAUGCAGUCAAAUCCCUCCUCCAAUCCACCCUGCAGUGUCCUUUCCUAUCACAGAUCUUCCCCAGCACCGCAGCUGGGAUUCUCCCCAAACUGUCUAGGUGAUUCACUUCUGUUUCAGCUCACUUGCUACACCCUUCCUCCAUUUUAACAGCUGUGCAUCACCUUUUCUCUGCCUUUAAAUUUUCCUUGUGCAUCUCAGGUGAUGUAUUCUUCCACUAACCUGUUCAAUAUGCCUUUCCUCCAGCCCAUCAGCUGUGCCCCUUCUUUAGCUCACCCUGUUGAAUCCUUCCCCUAAAUCACCUCGCCAGGUUCUUCCUUCAGUUUGCUCAAUGAACUCCUCAUCAGGUCUGCUUUGCUAGACUCUUUCUAAACCUGGCCACCAUGUUAUUCCUCCAGACCAGGCAUUACACACUUCAAAGGCAGCAAAGUCUCUUUUAGGUUUUAUUUUGACUUCAGAAGAGAGUUACAGAAAACAAAUUAGUUUCUGAGGUCAUACGUAGGCAUGAAAUAUGGAAAAGCUUCCACAAAUCCCUUCCAUCAAUUAUGUUUCUCUGGUUUACUUGCCCCAUCACAAAGGUUUCGUCCCCAUAAUAACACUUGCACUUAUACAGCAUCUUCCAUCCAAGAAUCUCAGAGUGGUAAACAUUCAUUCAUGAAUGUAGCCUCACAAUGCUCCUUUAUGGUAGGGAGAGAAUAUGCCAAUUUCACAGAGAACCUGAAGCAAAAAGAGAUUAAAUGAAUUGCCCAAAAGUUGCACACAAAGCCUGUGGCAGACUCUAAGGCCUGGUCUACACUACGAGUUUAUGUCGGAUUUAGCAGCGUUAAAUCCGAAUUAACCCUGCACCUGUCCACACAACGAAGCCAUUUUUUCGACAUAAAGGGCUCUUAAAAUCUAUUUCUAUACUCCUCCCCUACGAGGGGAUUAGCGUUGAAAUCAACAUCGCCUUUUUGAAUUUGAAUUAGGGUUAGUGUGGAUGCAAUUCGAAGGUAUUGGCCUCCGGAAGCUAUCCCACAGUGCACCAUUGUGACCGCUCUGGACAGCACUCUGAACUCGGAUGCACUGGCCAGGUGUACAGGAAAAGCCCAGGGAACUUUCGAAUCUCAUUUCCUGUUUGGCCAGGUGAGCUCAUCAGCACAGGAGACCAUGCAGUCUCAGAAUCGAAAAAGAGCUCCAGCAUGGACCGAACGGGAGGUACUGGAUCUGAUCACUGUAUGGGGAGAGGAAUCAGUGCUAUCAGAACUACGCUGCAAAAGACGAAAUGCCAAAACAUUACAAAAAAUCUCAGAGGCCAUGAGGGACAGAGGCUACAUCAGGGACGCAACACAGUGCCACGUGAAACUUAAGGAGCUCAGACAAGCGUACCAGAAAACCAAAGAAUCAAAUGGAUGCUCUGGGACAGAGCCCCAUACAUGCUGCUUCUAUGCUGAGCUGCAUGCAAUUCUGGGGGGCCGCCACCACUACCCCACCCCGUCCAUGGACUCCGAUGAUGGGGUGCUCUCCGCCAUGGCUGAGGAUUUUGCGGAUGGGGAAGAUGAUGAUGAGGAGGACGAGCUUGGGGAAAGCACACAGCACACCGUUCUCCCCGACAGCCAGGAUCUUUUUAUCACCCUGACUGAAAUACCCUCCCAACCCAACGAAGCUAGAGAAGGGACCUCUGCAGCUGCAAAUGUUUCAAGCCUCCCUCCUCUGUCCCAAAGGCUAUCUCAGAUAAGGCGGUGAAAAAAACGCACGCGUGAUGACAUGUUCUCUGAGCUCAUGCAGUCGUCCGGCACUGACAGAGCUGUGUGGAAGGACACAAUAGCAGAAUACAGGAUGGUGGCCGAUGAACGUGAGGAGAGGUAGCGGCAGGAAGAGCAGAGGAGGCAUGAGGAAACGUUGGGGAUACUGUGGGAUCAAAUGGACAUGCUCUGGCGUCUGGUGGAGGUUCAUGAACGGCAGUAGGAUCACAGACUGCCACUGCAGCCCCUGUUUAACUGCCCUCCCUCCUUCCCAAGUUCCAUAGGCUCCUCACCCAGACGCCCAAGAACGCGGGGUGGGAGACUCUGGGCACCCAACCACUCCACCCCAGUGGACAGCCCAAGCAACAGAAGGCUGGCAUUCAAGAAGUUUUAAAGUGGCCUUUUCCUUCCCUCCUACCCUCUUCCCACACCCCACCCGGGCUACCUUGUGAGUUAUCUCCCUAUUUUUAUAAUCAAUUAAUAAAGAAUACAUGUUUUUUAAA